GACUCGCGAGUCGAACGUUCGACUCAAGUCGAACGAUUUGGCGAAUUGCCUAAGUCGUGGUAUUAUGAAAGGCGAACUUCGACGUUCGCUUUUGAAAACAAUAUUACCAACUUUAAGAAGUGAAAUAUGUAACGUCAUGACUCGUGAAACGUCAAAGACUGAAAAUUAUUGUUGAUGAUAUAUUGUUUACAAUUUGGAAAAAAGUAAAAUGAAUAAAACAAAAUAUGAUAAGCAGUGUUGAUUUAUUUUUUGAAGAUUAAGAUGAAAACGAAAGAGCGGAGAAAGUAUUGGUGUGUAGAUUACGAAGAAGUUUAAGGGACAACUCCAACCCACUUCAACUUCCAGAUAAUUUGUUUGUGUCAUAUUUUCGCGUUAAUAAGCAUGCAUUUGGUUAUAUUUUAAACAUCAUUACACCAGGAUUUAAAACUACUCAAAGUUCUGCAAUUCCACCAUAUAUAAAACUUGCAUGUGCGUUGCGUUUUCUCGGCAGUGGAAGCUUCUAAAAUGGUGUGGGAAGUGACUUUGAGCUGGGUCUCGCGCAAUCUACAGUUUCAGUAGUUCUAAGUGAAGUGCUUGAUUUACUUGAAGUGAAAAUUUGUCCUGUGUGGAUAAAGGCAGACAUGUCUACCUCUGAAAAACAAGAAGCAAGAAAUUACUUUUUUGAAAGGGCCAGAUUACCCGGAAUAGUGGGCUGUGUAGAUGGGACUCACAUUGGAAUAAUCGCUCCUGUUCAGCUACAACAUCAAUUUUUAAACAGAAAAGAUUUUAUAGUUUGAAUGUUAGUGGUGGCCUGUGACAAUAAUGGAAUUAUAAGAUUUAUUGAUUCCAGAUAUCCAGGUUCAACACAUGACUCUUUUGUGUGGAAUCAUAGUGAAUUAAAGGAUCUUUUGGAAAGCUGGUGGUUGAAUGGAGAGCGGUCAAGUUAUCUAGGUGUGAAUAUAUUCCAUUCGUAGGUAAAGAAUUAAAUGGGCUAUUUUUAAGAACAAUUUUUUUUUUCAAAAAUACUAGGCUUGGUUUUUUUUUGAAGAUCCGAAAGAUCCUAUACCUUUCGCAUUUUCGGGGUUUGUCUCCAUAAUUUCAACGAGCUUUGAAAAUUGGUUGGAGUUGGUUUUUUUUAUGCUAGGUAUACAAAAAAAAUUCU